UACGUAGGGUGCAAGCGUUAAUCGGAAUUACUGGGCGUAAAGCGCGCGCAGGCGGCUAUGCAAGACAGAUGUGAAAUCCCCGGGCUCAACCUGGGAACUGCAUUUGUGACUGCAUGGCUAGAGUACGGUAGAGGGGGAUGGAAUUCCGCGUGUAGCAGUGAAAUGCGUAGAUAUGCGGAGGAACACCGAUGGCGAAGGCAAUCCCCUGGACCUGUACUGACGCUCAUGCACGAAAGCGUGGGGAGCAAACAGG
rnacentral:rRNA from 1 species